rnacentral:rRNA from 1 species
GACGAACGCUGGCGGCGUGCUUAACACAUGCAAGUCGAACGGAAAGGCCCUGCUUUUGUGGGGUGCUCGAGUGGCGAACGGGUGAGUAACACGUGAGUAACCUGCCCUUGACUUUGGGAUAACUUCAGGAAACUGGGGCUAAUACCGGAUAGGAGCUCCUGCUGCAUGGUGUGGGUUGGAAAGUUUCGGCGGUUGGGGAUGGACUCGCGGCUUAUCAGCUUGUUGGUGGGGUAGUGGCUUACCAAGGCUUUGACGGGUAGCCGGCCUGAGAGGGUGACCGGCCACAUUGGGACUGCGAUACGGCCCAGACUCCUACGGUAGGCAGCAGUGGGGAAUAUUGCACAAUGGGCGGAAGCCUGAUGCAGCAACGCCGCGUGCGGGAUGACGGCCUUCGGGUUGUAAACCGCUUUCGCAUGUGACGAAGAGUGAGUGACGGUAAUGGGUAAAGAAGCACCGGCUAACUACGUG